AAGUCGUAACAAGGUUUCCGUAGGUGAACCUGACGAAAUACAGGGUCAGUUUUUAUUUGACGAAGAAUCUCUAUAAAUUAGUGUGCUUAAUAAACGGGUCAACAACAACGACCUUCUUUCUCGUCUUUCUUUUCCCAUUCAAUUUUGACUAACCUGCGGAAGGAUCAUUCAUAUCAAGUGUUUUAUGGCACUUUUUAAAUCCAUAUCCACCUUGUGUGCAAUGUCAGUCGAUCUUCUUCAUGGAGAUCGACCAAACAUCAACCUUAUCCUUUAACUCUUUGUCUGAAAAAUAUUAUGAAUAAACAAUUCAAAAUACAACUUUCAACAACGGAUCUCUUGGCUCUC
rnacentral:misc_RNA from 1 species